CAUCCAGCCAUCCACCAGCCGCGCCGUCCAGCCAUCCACCAGCCUCACCACCAGAGCCAGAGAAUGCAGCCAUGGGAUGUCUGGUACAGAAACAUUUUAUCCAGUCAAGAGGGUCGUAAAACACAAAAGGCUUAAGGGAAAAACAAUGGAACUUAUUGAGUGGGAGCCCUGUUCGAUGUGUGGGAAGACCUGGCCCCUCGAGUGGGUAGCCAAGAAAGACACAAAGUCUUAAAUGACAUAAAUAUAUUUUUUAUGUUAUUAUGUCUCGUUAUGUUCAAAACAAAUAAAGUUCAAACACUAAAACCUCAAAGACUUUGGUCUUAUGUUUUGUAUGUAUGUGAACUGCUGAAACUGUUCUAUUGUUGAAACGAUGUACACAUGUUUAAAAAAAACAGUAAAACAUGCAAGAAUGCAUGUUAGUAUGACAACAGAAGUUAAGCAUAACUACACAGAAAAUAAUAUUGUUCUUUUUCAUGACCCUUACCUAAUAUGUAUUGUCCUAGUUGAGUUGCCGUACUGUGCCUGACCCGCUUGUGCAUGCGGCAUAGAGUUAUGAUGCAGGUAUAUCUUAAUAUCCUUUUUUAUUUUUUCAUAGUUUCUUUUUAUUGUUUCAUAGUAUCCAGAAUUAGAUGUACGACCCCUCAUUAAACGUUUACAGUAAAUAACAUAAUUAACAAAUAAGACAAUGACUCAGACAAUAUGAAACUUGGUGGCAGCAAUAGCAGCGUCCACAGCAACCACCAUAACAACGGUAAAAAGCUAAAGAGAAUCUAAAAUCUUUGUAGAAACUAAUAAACAGGUCUUCUACAUUCUCUGAUUAUAAAAGUAUAACGCAU